GCACCAGUGGCCUAGUGGUUAGAGCAUCUGACUUGGAUGCAGAAGGUCACAGGUUCAAACCCAUCAAAGAUGUACA